UGUUUGUGCACUGUUUUGUUGAGCUCUGUUGUGACUUAUUUAACAUUUCUUCCAGUUUCACAGGUUAAAGACUUUUUGAAGUAAAGAGGAGCAUCUCAACUGAACCUGAUGUCUAUCAUGGAUAUUUAACUGCAGUUCUGUGAGUAUCCCAACUUAACCAUGAAGCAUAACUGCAAACUGUAAGUCAUUAAUUUCUCAUUACUCUUGGGCACAUUAAUGUAUGUUGGCUUCCUGGUGAGUUAACCUGUUACCUGAAGGUUGAUCUGAGUAGCAAGGAUUUUUUUAUUGGUUCAUGGGUUACUUAGGUGUUUGGUUUAUGUUGGUUUUAAUGAUUUGAUAAAAUGGUUACAGGCUCCAUGUUGUUGUUGUAAGCUGGAGUAAUGGGUUAGGUUCUGAGCUGUCAAGCGAUUAAAAUAUUUAAUCGCAUUAAUGUCAUAGUUAACUCACGAUUAAUCGCAAAUUCUUUUUCUAUGCUAAAUAUAAUAAUUCUUAUCAUUUUAAUUCUCUUAUCAACAUGGUGAAGUGCAUCGGCUUGCCUUGUGCAAAUUAUUUUUUAUUGAUAACAACAUUGGCAUAUACUGAUCAAAACAGGACGAUACAAAAAAAGAGCCUAUAGUGCAAUUAAACGACUGCUUUGAACAAAUGUCAUUUGAACAUAGCAGUCAGGCUACUGCUUCUUUGUUUUGAGCCAAAGAAACAUUAUUAUUUAUUUUUUUAAUAAAAUAAUUGCGUUAAUCGCGCGAUAAAGUUUUUAACGCUGUUAAAAUUGCUUUGCGUUAACGCCGUUAAUAACGUGUUUAACUGACAGCUCUAGUUCUGAUAUCUUCAGUCUUCUUUCAUUCUACUCUCCUGAGCUCUGCAUAUUCAUCACACGAGUGUUGCUUUGAUGCUUGAUGAGGGUGUGGUCUGAGUGAGCAGAGGUGCAUACUGGGAUACAGAGCUGUCUGAAGUCUACAGGUCUGUAGACACGCCCCCUCAGGGGAAACCGAGUGUUUGAGAAACUGUCGUGACGUCAGUUACAUGGACUGGAAUGUUCUUAAAGAUGGAGACAGGGAUUCAGAAGGAGAAACACCAGGGGGAGAUGAGGGGGCUCCUCAUCUCAACGACUAAAACACAACUUCAGUCUGACACGGAACCAUGGAACGCAUUCAACAGUCCCCUCCAGGCAUCGUGACUACUCAGGAACAGUUUCAUUUCCAAGAAGGUCUUAUUUGGGGCCAUCCCCAUAUGGAUCCUGCUCAAGAGCCACCCCCCUCCACUGGGUGGUCUUCUGAACAGAUGACCUUCUUCCUGUCCUCAAGCUGACUAAAGCUGCACCGUUUGCAUCUGUGAAGCCCCCUCAUUCAGGAAACCACUGGACUACAAAGACAUGACUUCAGAGAAGUUGAAUCAACCUGGGACACAUUUUGGAGACGCCAAGCAUAAUCCAUCACCAAUGUGGGACGCCACUGAAGAAUGUUGUACAUAAUUUACGUCUCUGGAGACAUUGGUUGUUCUGUUAUGGGUGCCCUGGCAGGAGAGCUGGGGGGGGGGUGAUGGAAUGUUAUUUGGCAUGAGGUUUUUACCCUGCAUGAUUGUUUGGCCUUUUAUGGCUCAGUGGUGUGUGUGUGUGUGUGUGUGUGUGUGUGUGUGUGUGUGUUUGGGUUUGAAAUUUUCGAAAUUUGAAAUUGGGUUUGAAAUUGUCGAUUUUUAAGCAUCGCUGUGUGUGUGUGUGUGUCUCCCACUCACACCUGGCAUGGGGUUCUACGUGCCUGUCCUGGGUUCUAUGUGUGUGUGUCCGGCUUGCUUUGACAGUGAUAAUGUUCAUACGGGGGUCUGUGUGAUUGGCUUGGGAUAUUGGAAUGGUCAUCUAAAUCAUACCUGAUGGACGGCCACACGUUUACUUAAGGGCCUCCAGUAGACAUGGAGAGCCCUGAGCGACGCUCCGGAGCGAGAUCCAACACACUGGGCAGGAAGGAGAGUAUCCAACUCGAGUGUAAAAGGAUGCAAGCGGCGUGUUCAGAUCAGUGACUUCAAACUAGGACUACACCAAUCAGGAUCAAUGGAGGAUGGACAUCAAAAGGAAUUCCACAAGGGGAGUCUGACGUUGGAAAGGGACCUAAAUGGAUAUUCAAGAUGACCUUCAGACCUGUAAUGAGACGGCUCUUCCUUCCUACCUGGCUGGAUUGAUGGAGAGCCCUGUGGAUCUUGUCUUGCUCUCAGUUGCACGUCUUCUCAGGCUGAACUGUAUUUGUUUCGAACAGGACUAGCUGAACAAUUGGUUGCCUUAAAUCAGAACCAAUCCGGGAACUCCAGCUAGUGCGCUCUUCGAGCUAAAGUUGUGCUCUUCAGCUGAGGAGGUAAGGAAACCUUCACUGGGGCUUCAAGGUGUAAAGAGGAGAAUGUUUCAAAGUGUUCCAUGGUACUCUGAUGAAGACCGUUGUGUUCCACUGGCUGAGAGGAAGAACCCACACAUCUUCCUCUUGGCCUUUCUCCUCUGAGAAUCCUGGCGCCAUCUUGAAGGAUAUUCCAGCUCACGUAACUGAUGUCACGACAGAUUCUCAAACACUUGGUUUCUCCUGUGGAACGUGUCUAUGGAACUGAAGACUUCAGACAGCACUGUAUCCCAGCAUGCAUCUCUACUCACUCAGACCACACCCCCAUGAGUAGGAUGCAACACUCUAGUGAUGGAGAUGUAGAGUUUUAUAAGUAAUGAGGGAGCAGUCUAAGGGGAUUAGAACACAAUGGAAUGUCAAUUCUGUAAAUCUUUAAACCAUGAAGAUGGUUGGUAGUUCAGGAAUUGGGCUUCUUUUUAUGAUGGGCAGUCCUUUCACUCAGAUAUAAAAACAACUUGAGUUUGAUAUUAAAUACAUACUGACACGUACGUCGUACAAUAUGUUGUUAAUUUCCGAUGGUUGCGCCGUACUUUUAACCAGGAUGACGUUGCGGGACUCUCACUGCGUACAAAACAGCGUUCUACUUGCGGGCCCAUUUUUGACAUCGGGGAAGGCUGAAAAUCAUUUCAAGGUGGAAGAUAAUUUGACAUUUCUUCAACGGAACCCAGCACCUGAAUAUGGCUGAGUAUAUUUGAUUUAAUAUCGAUACUGCUUAGUGUUCUUUGUUACUUCAGCUUUUGUACGUUCUAAAUAUCUGCUGUCAUUAAUUGCCACAGAAGUUAAACCCUACCCAAUGGAAUGACGUUAAACAACGACUUUGGUGCAGUUAUCGACUGGAUAAUAUCAAAGCUAAAAUAAUGGCCGUAAUUCCCACAUGUUACAGUAGAAGAUACUCUAGAACUGUACAAGGUUAAAAGGUAACAUGUAGUUUGUCCCAAGGUGUCUGCCUCCUCACCCAGAGCAAGACCUCCACCUCCUCACCCAGAGCCAGACCUCCACCUUCUGUCAGAAGUCCUCCAGAACAGCUGAAAGGCGAGGCUGAGAGGCUGGGGACCGGAGGAUUGUGGUGCCAGGGUGGACCGGAGACUGAGGCUGGAGACCAGGGGCCUGCAGCACCGGACCAGAGGACCAGGAAUCCAUGGCUGAAGAAGCUGAUGGAGCAGUCGUGCUGAAGGCCCUGCCUGGUGGAGGAGCUGGUGGAGGCCCUGCCUGGUGAAGGACGUCUGUCGUGGGACCAGAACUCUGUCUGAGGAGAGCUGCUGGAGGAGCUGAGACGCUGGAGGAGGACGACUAGGAAUCGACCAACAAGGAUUCCUCGUAAGUUUGUAUUUACUUACAUGGUUGACUUAAAGGGCAAAAUACAGCUGUUACUUUGACAUGCGUUAACCAAAUACCGCUGAGUUUUCUUACUAGAACGUGUUUCUGGAGCGGAGACGAGCUGGUAGGGGAGCCGUGAAUCUGGAGGAUGACCAUCACUCUACCAACAAGGAUUACUUUAGGGCCAGACUCGCGCUGUUUGUUCCAGACCAGGACUCUGGCUGAGGAGAGCUGAUGGAGUAGCCAAGACUCUGGAGGACGACAUCACUCCACCAACCAGGAUCCUCAGACGAAUUACGUUUGUAACGAGACCAGGAAUCUGGAGGACUGAUGGAGAAGCCGUACAUCUGGAAGGCAAAUCCUGAGGACCACCAGGACUCUACCAUCAAGGAUUCCUCAUAAGUUUGCAUUAUCUGGACAUAGUGGACUAGACACACCUGAGCUGAACCUCACCUGAUCCUGUUUGGUCGGGGGUAGACACACCUGAGCUAAACCCGCCCUGAUCCUGACAUCCUGCUGGUCCCGUCUCCUCAGUUCAUCUGAGCCUCGUCCUCCAGAAGACCUGCUGAGCUCAGCUGUCUGAGGCUGAUGGAUCAAUGACCUCCAGUGGGAGUGAUCUUCUUGACCCCACAUGUAACCGUGUGCUUCCACACGCCUUUCCCUCACGUCUGUCACUAACCUCACUACUCUUUACUGCUUCCUCUUUUCUUCCUUCUCUGUGGUUCAAACCUUUACACUGAAGGCGCGUCUUCCUGCCCUCAGAGGGUUUAGCGUUAGGGUUGAGAGUCAGGGUUUAGAGUCAGGGACAGAGCUGGUCAGGGAGGACUGCUUUUACACAAACCUCUUCACUUGCUUUCGGAAUGGUGGUGACAUUUUGAAAAGAUUCAUUUGGGAAAAUGUUUUCCUCUGCUUUCCUUUAAAAAAAUUGUAUUAAACUUCUGUCAAGUGUUUUUGUUUAUAUAUUAAAAUCCCACAUUGACUUCUACAUGUUUGGUGCGGUUC